CCCCAGAUCAGUGGCCUCAGAAUCACCUGGAAACUUGUUAAAAAUGCAGAAUCCCAGGCCUACCCUGGACUAUCAGAAGCUGAAGGCAGUUCUGUUGAACAUGUAAAUAUUCCCCCUGCUGUGAUUAUUAUUGCAACUGAACAGAGAUGCUCUAUUUUCAAGAUGCUGAUACAAGAGGAUCAGAGAAUCAGGAGCAAUGCAACCAGCGUGGCGGUUGAGGAUUAGUAGGCUUGUCCUUGCCUGAAUUGGAGGAGCUGGCUGAGCCUUCCCUGAUGGAGAACGCUACCUCCACCAUGAACAGCUGCCUGCUUUAUUGGCUCGGGCUGUAGACCAUCACUGACAGGUCAGCUGCAGCUAGCAGACAGCUCUGUGCUAACCGAAGACCAAGAAAGAAACCCUGGGGAAGGAAACAGUGCCUGGCAGCACACACGUCAGUCUUCCUCUUUUGCGCCAGACCCCAGGCAUUCCGG
ensembl:lncRNA